AGCACACAGGAAGCCCCAAACAUAUGCUUGGGUGUAUCCAAAAGUCCCUGUCUGUGCUCUGGGAGAGCUCGUUCCUCUACCCGCCACUGCAUUCCACAGCCUGUAGAAGUCCUCAAGCGCCCCGUGAUUUCUGCUAGUUCCAGAGUGGGGUGUGGAGGAAAAGGCCACACGCCACGGCUCUGCACAGGGCCUAGAUGACUCUGAUUCUGAGUGAAGUUUCUGGGAGAACAGAGAAGCAUGUUGGUGAGAAGGGGAGGCACUUCAGGGGAUGGCAGAGCUGGGAGCAAGAUGGACAGAGGGGCCUAGCUGGCUGGCCACUGUGCAAGCCUGGGUCUGUGUCUCUGGUGUGUGUGUGUGUCCUCAUGUGGCUGUGGACAAGCACCAGGGAGAUGGGAAGCCAGCAUUGAGCAGCACAGGUCAAGAACUAAACUCCCACCUCCUGAUUCAGGCAGCUCAGAGAGCUGGCUGCUGUCAUACAGGGUGUCUAAGCGCCUGCAUCCAUCAGCCAGCCGUCAUCACAGCCCACCCCCAGGUCACAAAUCAGCAGCUCCAUUCACCUCCUGCCAGCAAGCACUCCCAGGCCAGCUCUGUCACUGGUCGCUGAGCCUUUGGAAAAUGCAACCCUGUCAGCCCUCACUCUGAGGCGAGACGGCUCAUGUUCCAGCGUGUGCAUGAGCAUGCCAGCACAUGAUGCAUGUACAGGUUGUACCCACAGACAUGUUUGCGCCUGUGGGCACAAUGCAGACAUGUUCACAGUGAUACACACAGAGCAUAUCCCUGCAGGUCUGCAAAUGUGGACACAUGCCAGCAUGCUAUGCGUGCACGGGAGGCAAGCUCUCAUGUGUGCACUCAUGUUUGUAUUCAGAGCAUGCACAUGCCUGCCAUAGAUAAGUUCUCUUACAUGCAUGUACAUGUGUGUCCACUGGUACUCUUCAAUAAGCAAACAUAUUUUCCCAUUCAGGCAUAUAUUCAUACCCAUUCACUAACAUAUGUGUGUCCCCAGAAACUCCCACUCGAAUACAUAGCACAUAUGUGUGCAUACCCUCAAAUGUACUUCUGUGCAUGAACAUACAACCCCAUGCUCUCAUUCUCAGUCAUAUGCCCAUUUGUAUGCACGCACAGGAAAGCAAAUGUAACCUCAGGAACAGUCCAUUACAAACUCCAAAUUCAAACGCAUGGUCCCAUAGAUGCAUUUGUACAUGUGAGGACAUAGGUCUGUGUGUAUGAAUAUAAUAUACACGAUCAAGUACAAGCACCUAAACAAACAGCCAUCCUCCAACAAAUGCUCAGAUCUGCACCAAGCACUCACACACAUGCAAUGGUAUAUGUGCAUCUGCCUGUCUCCAUGUAGGUUCCUCAACUUCCAGACAACAUGUCCUCAGGCGUUAACCACCUCUGUCCACGUGCACCUUUAGGCAGGCCCAGCACAGUUCACUCAUAUCCAUGCCCCAUGUGCCUAACUCAACCCCACAGACAAGCACACACAUAGACACGUGCCUCCAAAGCCCAUCUCCCACACAUGUGUGGAGUCAGAUCCCUAUCACGUGGAUGCACACACACCCUCUCUGGGGCACAGCCUGCCCAACCCCAGAUCGUCAGGUGUGCUGGGGACAGCAAGAAUGAUGCCCACACGCAGAAAUCGCCAGUCACGCAGAAUUGCAUCUGCUGCAAACUUCUCAUCUGCUGUGCAAAUGAUGAUUAAAUGUUAUUGUGCAAGA
rnacentral:lncRNA from 1 species